rnacentral:lncRNA from 1 species
CUUUGUCUGGCAAUGGCAUAUAACGGUGGUGAAAACCACUCUUCUUCAGAGAGCUUUCUUCCGGCACUUCUAGGCUAGUCCUCAGCUUGGCAUGACGAAAACUUUCUGCUACAGAACGAUUAUCGAUUAUUUGCAUUGAUAAUGGUUAUGGGAAACGGUUAAGUCAAUGGUUGUGUUGGAGCAAAGAAACGAGAGGCCGACUAUUGGGGUGAUGAUUUCAGAGCAACCCAAUGCGAUGGUGCCCAGGUCGCAGUCUCGUGGUGUUCACACCCGCUGUGAUCCCCUCCCUGAGUGUGGCCCAGGGACCCUGUUCUCACUAGCGGAAUUUGGUAAAGUGAUGAUGUGUACAUAAAUACAUCACAGAAGAUCGCAACUCCCGCCUUGCUAGGACACUCUCUCCCUUGCUGGCUUUGAGGAAGCCAGCUGCCAUGCUGUGGGCUGCCCUCUGGAGAGAGCCAUGAGGCAAGGAAGCGAGGGCAGCCCCCAGCCAACAGCCAGCGAAGACCUGAGGCCCUCAGUCAGACAGCCUGCAAGGAACGGAAAUUCCACCAAGGACCACAAGAGCUUGGAAGCGGAUCCUUGCCCAGUCGAGCUUCAGAGGAGACCACAGCCCUGGCCCACACCUGGAUCACGACCUUGCUGAGGACCCGAUUAGGCUUCGCCCAGACUCCUGACCCACAGAAACUGUGAGAUAAGUGUACAUUGUUGUAAACCACUCAGUUUAUCCUGAUUUGUUGCACAGCAACAGAGAAUAGUUUCUUUCUCAGGCUGUAAAGCAACAUAGAAUAGAAAAAGCCCGUUUGACGUGUUUUCAAAUCAGCUGCAGGCAAACAGAAAACGCUCACAGACCUGCACAUUCGCAUCUGUAAGAUCCCAGUGUGAUCAGGACAGUACUGGGGUUGCUCAGAUAUGUGAAAGGUUCUAGAAAAUCCUCUCCCUGGUGCAAGCCCGAAGGCAGAGUCGACGGGGCACUGGGGUGGCUCUCCAGGUCCCACGUGGGCCACUCCGGGCGCUGAGCACGUGGGGCACCGGGAGCCUCGGCGCCCUUGCCAUCACAGGCCAGUCCUAGAGGAGGAGAAGGAGCAGCCCCAGAAAGCGAGCCGGGGCAGAGCCACGUCCCGUCGCCCCUCAGGAGUGCGGCGCCCGGCUUCCUCUGCAACGAGUCUUUGGUGAAACAAAGUUCGCGAAAAGGCGCCUCUGUUUAGAAACAGGUUUCACGUGUGGCCGGAGGAGGAGGCUGGUGGCGAGAGGGGUUCUGGGACACGCUGGGCAGUGAGAGCUACUUACUUGGCCCGUGUCUCUAGAGAGGAGGACGGGGCGGGAUUAAAGGAGAAAGGGGGCUCCCUCCCCACCAUGGAAGGGCAUCCUGAAGCCGUGAGGCCCGUCAUGCUUUGAGGUUCUGGAACAGGAAAAGGGCCCGAAGUCUUCACCUUGAGGACUCGAUGCCGUCUGCGUGCUGCCUCCAAACAGCGAAAAGCAUCGACAAGUCUGACUCCUUCUGAGAAGCGGUGGCAGGGGCGCUGUGGACGGCCCAGAGAGCUUCUGUGCGGAACCGUGGCCAUCUGCUUACUGGUUAUCACAAAGAUCCAGAGGUUUGGAUUCAGGGCCCAUCAGUUACUAGUUCUGCGAUCUGGGACAGGUUGGUAACUACCGUAGGACUCAAUUUUAUCACGCAAAGUAGGAGAUAAUGACCCUUAAGCUCGGGCCGCAGAGGUUUCAGGGGCUAACGCGGGAAGGCACCUGGCGCGGAGCUGGCUCUGGGUCUAGGUCCCGCUCCUGCUGAGCCGACGUCUUUGGCUUAGCAAAUGGGCUUUCCCUUCCCACCGUGUGAGUUGGCUGAUGUUUAUCAAAGUUGAAAUGGGAAGAGCAGCACUUUUAAUUUUUGGCCGUCCCCAUGUGGGACGACUCUGCAUAAAGUGAGUGACUACGUCAGUUCAGAGCAGUGAACACUGUCUGCAGGAGAAACAGCCCCGAAGAAAAGAUCGUGCCCAGAAUGUCACCCUUAAGGCCAUCAUUAGGACUUGAAAAAAAUAUUUGGGAGGCAGUCUUGACAUAACUAUUAUACACAGACAGUUGAAAAGUGAAAUGGAGUGGGACGCCCCACCCGCAGCGCCCUCGGGCCAGACAGAGAUGGUUACUAAGAGAGUUCUGCUCCUUAAGAGGCGUGUCGUCCAACAGAAAUGUGCACUCUGGACAAUUUUUAAGAGGAUGUCUCUCCCUUUGUUGCUUCUGAGAUGAAUUCUAAUAAAACAUGGGGAUGCCAAGAUCAGAACUGCUUCCUUUGGGAGCAGAAAGCCUCGGCGCCAAGUCUGCUUGUGAAGUCCCGUCCCCAAAGGCCAUUUCUUCACGGCAUGCGCCUGUCCUGAUUCACCUGCGUUAAGGUGAUGUUUUCCAAGAGCAAACCCCAAGCACACGGAAUGAGCUCUGGAUGCCACACGACGGGGGCGUGGGACUCAGGUUUAGGGACCACAGAACUGCCCCCGACCCCAGCUGAGCCCCAUGGAAUAAACUCCUUCUCCUGCCGCCAGGAGCACCUGUGAACGCCACCCUCCGGAAAGGCGCCGCCCACAGAGCCGGCCCAGAUGAGGGAGGAGGCAAAGCACCUCUGAUGAGGGCAAUGACAGAAAAGGUGCAAAGUGAGGGGAACGGGAAGAAAGAGAGGGAAAUGUUGUCUGGUACACCAACACUUUCUAGAACCUUGGAACACAAUCUUAAAUCUCAAGCAAAACAUUUACAUCGGCCUUAUUUAUUGCUUACCCAAAUACACCACGUGCCCCUUGUUCAUUCAUUCGACACCUAGUUAUUGACUGGUCCUAGGUAUCGGGAUUGUUCUGAGCACCCGGGAGGCAGCGAUAAACACAACGGGCUGUCUGUGCUCCCUUGAGCUUGUGUUCUCGCGGGUUCAGGUCGGGCCAUCCUGGUUAGCCCAUUCUCUUGAGCAGGCUCCCAAUUCCUUACUUCAAGUUCCUGCUCUGUGAGGGCAGCACAUAGCAUCUUCUGGCCCAUGGCCCAGAUCUGGCACCUGCAGAGGACAUGGAAAGGCAGGUGGAUGGUGAAGAGGAUUAAUUAAAGGGAUGAUCCAUGGCUUUCUGUACGCAUGCUAGCCAGGUUAGAAUUAUUUACGUGGAUGCUUGGGACGUUCCUAUAAUUUAAGCACCACAUCACAGAGUAUCUUAAAGGACAGUUCUCAAUUUUAUUUUAUUUUUCCUCAUGCAAACACUAGGGUGUCUUGUGCUUAAACACCGUAAUUUUCAACAAACGAGCCCCUGCCACUGCUGUGUUGAACACCACCGUAAUUUACUUGUUAGAAUCAGGGAUAAUAACGAGUUCAUCUGAGUGGUAACAACAGCCUGGAAGAAAUGACUCUGAAAGAUGUGUUUAAGGGACCAGGCCGGGGAGGGAGGGGGACUGAGGGAUGUAACUAAAGGCAUUUGGAGGUGAAGUGGAGGGGGCGCUGGGGAGGAGGCUGGAUGGCUUCUGGAACUUUCGAGAGAGCGUGCAUUUUGUCAGAAGCUGAGCAUUUCCAGGUCCUUAGAAAUUACCUGGCAGCCCUCAUUUGACAGAGGGGACAAUCAGUCCAGAGAAGUUAAGUGACAAGGCCACAGAGCUUGUAAGGGCCGCCCUGGGGACAGAUCCCAGGUCUCCGGAUUCUUGGCCCAGUGCCCGUUCAGCUCAGUGGAAGAGUCCAUCACACUCAUCCGCUGUUUCACAGACUCCAACUGAGUCAACCAGUUUCCAGAAAAUCUGGCUAUUUUACGAAUCUCCACUGGGAGAAUUAAUGUAGCAUAUAUUUUGGGCAUAGCACAGUGGUUAAAGAAUUCAAAAUCGACUUAGUGAAAACUGACAGAUUUAUCUAUCUUUUCAUUUUUGGCUCUGCUCGGGGGGUUCUCUCUCGGUGCCAUCCUGCCCCCUAGGGGACACCUGGCAACGUCUGGAGAUACUUUGGGUGGUGACAUCUUGGGGCCGGUGGCGUUCACGGCAUCUAGUGAGCAGAGGCGGAUAUGCAGCUGAACAGAAGCAUCCUACAGGGCACAGGACACCCUCCGCCCUAAACAACGACCGGGCCCCUAACCCUCUCCCCACCCACUGGGCCGGGGCCUCCUCCCGGCAAGGGGACGCGCACAGCCACCUCCCGGGCAUCUUCGCGUCCUCGUCCCACCACUCCCACCACGGAGCCGCCCUGCUCCCCGCCUUCCGGCCCCUUCUGGCCUCUAGGGAGGGCUGUGAGCUCCCACCCUACAAAUGGGGAAACUGAGGCAGGGCGGGCACGGGACGCGGGUCUCGCCGCUCCGAAGGGAGGCGCGGGCCUGGAAGGCGGGGUCUCCUCCGGAGUCCCCGAGGGCGCCCAGCACGAAGCCGGCGCGUGGCGAGCGGCUCGUCUCUCCGGCGCACUCCCACCCGCCUCCCGACUCCGCGAGGUGCUGCGCGGCCAGGGCCCAGCCAAACGGCCUGCGCGGCGGGCCUCCCCGGCGCAUGCGCGCGCGCGGGGCACUGUGGGAGGCUGGCCGCGCGCCCUCAGCGCAACCUGACGCCGGCGCGGUUGUCAGGGCAACGGGGGGGGCGGGGCGGGAGCGAGGCCGCGUGGUCUCCACGUGUUUGUCAGCAGCCGUCCCCUAACUCAGGGAAGCUCCUCCCGCUGGUUCCUUGUUGUCCGUUGGUCCGUUCGCUUCCCGGUUGGACGGAAGCAGAUUUCCUGUCCCCGGGAGCACGUACAGUUGACUCAGUGACGGCCACAGGCGGGCGGAUGCCGCGAUUAGUGAUUAGGAGCCGGUGGAGACUGCCAGCGUCCAUCCUGCUGGCGAUCGCCUGUGCCUUUUCUUUCCUCUUUGCCUCUGAGUGCUUUGUAAUUUAACAGCGUCUGUAAUUUCUCUGAGUUCUCCGGCCAGAUCUCACUUUCGCCAAAUCACGGAUCUGAAUUUCGCAGCAGUGCCUGGGUGGUGACGACCUCCAUUAGGAAGCAUUCUCCACGUGACGAAGGAGUUCACAGCAGGAUUUCCUCGAACAGAAAACUGCCUCGGCGCACCGGCUUCACUUUAUAUAAAAUUCAUCUAGAUACAAGAUCCCCUCCCCCCCAUUUCUUUUUUGUGUGUAAACUGCUGUGUAUGGCUGUGCAGGCUGUGCCUGGCGGAGGGGCUGGGAUCUGAAUCCAGCCUAGGCUCUGUUCCUCUGUGCACUGGAGGACAGUGCACCUUCUAAUUGUCUAUCAGAGUGGGUGCCUUUUUCUGUUUGCGUGAAGUUUCUAAAUGUGCUGGCUACCUUCCUGCAUGUAUUUUUGUAAAUUGAGGUAACAUUGGUUUAUAACAUUAUAUAAAUUUCAGGUGUACAUCAUUAUAUUUCGAUUUUUGUGUAGUUUACAUCGUGUUCACCACCCAAAGGCUGGUUACCACCUGUCACCGUACACAUGUGCCCUAUUACCCCGUUUGCCCUCCCUGCACAUAAUAAUUUUACGGUAACCAGUUGCAUGACUUUGGGGUUUAUGGAACGCUUAUAACAAGGUUUUAUAGUGUGUCAUUCCAUUUUAUCCAGGCCAAGACUUUGUGUGGACCCAAGUCUUUGAUUAAAAUUAAACAUGGUGCGAAGAAGGUCGUGUAGGGUGAGGUGUCAGUUCCUUUUUCUGUGCUCCAUCAGGUUGUCCAGGAACCUAGAUUCCAUCCAUCUUCUUGCUCCUCUGUCUCCUAGGGGUUGUCCUUGCACGCAUGGUAGGAGCUUGCUUGCCUCCACUCCGAGUUCCAGCCUGCGGAAGGGGGAGGAGGAAGCCUAGGGCAAGUGGCUUUGUGUUUAAGGUGAUGACCUCCGAAUUGCUCUCAUGUUUGCUUGAAUCCCAUUGGCUCAGACAUAGUCACGUGGCCACACCUGGCUGCAAGGGCUCCUGAGAAAUGUAGUUUCUAGCUGGAAGCCAUGUGUCCAGCUAAGAUUCGGGCGUUCUAUUACUAACAGGAAUAAAGGGAGAACAGAUGCUGGGGGACAGUUAGCAGUUGUAAGUCCCUCGAGGGUAAGGACUGAGUCACUGAAUUUUUUGAAUAAAUGCAGCAGACAUACAGUAAGUGUUCCUCGAGUGGUUGAUAGAGAGGGUCCUGUUCUAUUUGCUGAGCAGCAUUGCAUAGUGGGGAAGCCUGGGUUUCAGUCUUGCCUGGGAUACUUACUGUGUGACUUUGGCCAGGUGGUCUCAUCACCCAGCCUCAGUUUUUCUAAUCUGCAAAAUGGCUCAUAUACCCGCUUUUCAGAGGGUGUGGGGAGGGUAAACGGUAGAAACAUACAUGAAACUCUUAGCAUGCGCUCAAAACUCUUAGCGUGUGACUUUUCCCCAGACUCUUAGCUGUAGUGAGAAUAUCAUACCUUUUACUUUACAAUAUGCUCUUAAUUCCAGGAAGCUGCACAAAAAUAUAUAGUCAAAGGGAAAAAAGACAAGAGUGUGGAAACGUUAAUGCCACACCUUAUUGCUAUUAGAAAAAGAGGUGGAAACCAGGCCUAUCGUUCAACCUAUUGUGAGCAAGACACUGUGAAUUUUAACGGAAAUAAAAUUUAAAUGCCAUUAACAAAAAGUGAUGUAAACAUCAGAAAGGCAACUUGAGGGAUAUUCUCCAGAAUAGGUGACUAGUACCCUUAACGAGAGUCAAAGUCAAGAAAGAUAAGGAAAACCUGAGGAGCUGCCAGACAGCGGAGGGGACUAAAGAGAUGUGACGAUUAAAUGCACUGGGGGUUCCUGGACCAGAAAAAAGAUAGUAGUGGAAAAGGUGGUGAUAUUGAAAAAAGCCUACAGUUUAGUUAAUAGUAAUGUACCGGUGUUAAUUUCUUAGUUUUGACAAAUGUGGCGUGGUUAGAUAGAUGCUAACAUGGGGGAGCUGGG